UUCUUGGAGAGUUUGAUCCUGGCUCAGGACGAACGCUGGCGGCGUGCCUAAUACAUGCAAGUCGAGCGAAUCAAUAGGAGCGCAGCUCUUUUGGUUAGCGGCGGACGGGUGAGUAACACGUGGGC
rnacentral:ncRNA from 1 species